rnacentral:rRNA from 1 species
UACGUAGGUGGCAAGCGUUGUCCGGAUUUACUGGGCGUAAAGGGAGCGUAGGCGGACUCUUAAGUGGGAUGUGAAAUACUCGGGCUCAACCUGAGUGCUGCAUUCCAAACUGGGAGUCUAGAGUGCAGGAGGGGAAAGUGGAAUUCCUAGUGUAGCGGUGAAAUGCGUAGAGAUUAGGAAGAACACCAGUGGCGAAGGCGACUUUCUGGACUGUAACUGACGCUGAGGCUCGAAAGCGUGGGGAGCAAACAGGAUUAGAUACCCCUGUA